GGAGGGGGGGGGCGCCACUCAGCUCCCAAAUAAAUCACACAAAGAGGCUUAUUCUUACUUAUAAAUGCCCGGCCUUAACUUGGCUUGUUGCUAGCCAGGUUUUCCUUCUUUUUUUAUCUAAGUUUUUUUUUUUUAAUUCAUUUUACAUACCAACCGCAGAUCCCCAUCUUAUCCCACCUCUGGCUCCCCAUCAGUCUUCCCCCUAUCACCCAGCUUUUCUUAACUUAAAUUAUCCCACUUAUCUUUUGCCUCUGGGCUUUUACCUUUCUCUACUUCUCUGUGACUUGCUGUGUAGCUGGGUGGCUAACCCCUGGUAUCCUCCUCCUGUUCUUACUUCUCCUUCUUUUCCCCAGAUUUCACCUCCCAUUUAUUCUCUCUGACUGCCAGCCCCACCUAUCCUUUCUCCUGCCUUGCUAUUGGCCAUUCAGCUCACUAUUAGACAGAUCAGGUAUUUUAGACAGGCAAAGUAACACAGCUUCACAGAGUUAAACAAAUGAACCAUAAAAGAAUGCAACAAAUCUUUGCAUCAUCAAGACAAAUAUUCCACAGCAUAAACAAAUGUAACACAUCUUAAAAUAAUAUUUCACAACAGAUUUAUUUUAUUUUAUUUAUUUUUGUGUGUGUAUGUGUCUAUGUGUAUAUGUAUAUUCACUUAGAGGCCAGAAGAGGGUUACAAGUGAUUGUGAGCCAUUUGACAUGGAUGCUCAGAACUGAAUCUAGUCCUCUGUAAGAGCAGCAAUCACUUUUAACCACUAAGUCAUCUCUCCUCCUUCAAGCAGCUCCUGGAAGGCACACCCAGUCUGCUCGUGACUGCUUUCCUCCAUCUUCCCAGCUGGCCACACUGAAUUCUGGGACUUUCUUCUAUAGUCACAUUUUUUUCCUUUGGCAGCUGAUUCUGCUUUUACAGAGCAUGUGGGUACCUGGAUACUUUCCAUAUUUUAAGAUCAGCUGACUGGCAACCUUAAUUCCAUCUGUGACCUUUUCAUUUGUCAACCAAAAUAGACAACAGAUUUGGGGAUUUUGACAUGUUGUCUUUAAGGAGUCGUUUAUUCUGCCUCCUAGAAACUUGGGAUGAUGGGGUAUAGACGAUUUCUUUAUUAACAGCCAUUCCAGCUGAUUCUAGUGAAAGCAGCCAGACCAGAACAGUGAGAAAGCCUCCUCUAGAGACUUACUCAUAGUGGCCCUAUGUACUCACUUUUGGAUCCAAGCACAGAAGAUUUGGUUUCCACACCACAUUUGAUGUGAGGAGACCAUUGAAUUAAGACUUCGGUAAGAUGACAGAAAGAGCUGCUGACACAGAAGUGUUGGCCCUGGCAGAGUUCAUCGUUGUCAGAGGGGCUUCAUUUUAGCUUGUUUUACAUGAUAGCUUGAAAGUCAAAUUUGAGAAUCAUUUAAAAGCCUGAACGCAGAAUAUCAAGAAAGACAAUGUAGAAUGUAAUUCAUGAAAUUAGAGCUGGAGAGAUGGUUUGUAAAAUUAUUUGUCAUGAAAGCCCGUGAAACCCUGAGGACUUGAAUCCAAUCAUCAGAACCCACCUUGAACAAAGAGAACAGACUCCUGAAAGUUGUCUUCUCAUCUACACAUAUGCCAUGGCAUGCAUGUGUACAUGUGUGCACACAUACACUCCAUAUAUAAUAUAUAUGCAUAUAUAUACUAAUAAUAAAUAAUUUUCAAAUUUAAGUCAUAAUAUAUGAAAUUAAAUCCUCAUUUGGUUUUAAUACUAUAUUUGGCUAGUAUUUCCUUAUUAUUUUCUUGGUUAUAUUAACAUUUGUAUUUGUAUUUAUAUUUAUUUAUGGAAUAUUCACAUUGCGUAUGGGAAUAUGUCUUUUAUCUACCCAAACCAGAAGCUGUGCAAUAAUUAUGUUAGGAAUCACAUUUAACCUCCUAUCUAUAUUAACAAAAAGAUUAAGUGUGCUGGGACUUGUAUUACAUGAUAAAGACAAAUUCAACUGUUUAAGUACAUAAUUCAUUCUUGCUUAAUGUAUUUUGAAGUAUAACCUGCUUUCUAAAAAUGUGUACUUAUCAAUUUUGUGUGUACCAUGGUACCUGUGUGAAAGACAGAGACAAUACUGGGGAGUUGGCUUUCUGUACCACACGGAUCCUGGAGUUCAAACUCAGGUUGUCAGGGGGCAUCUUUACUGCCUGAGCCAUCUCACCAGCCCCCAGACAUCAUCUACAUGUUCAUAGCUUGGGUACUGAUUUAUUGCUGACAGUUUAUAUUAUAUGAGAGGUCAAUAAAUAUUUAUUAAAAUUCUCUUUGAAGAAAUGGUCAUAAAAUUUAGUAACAGAUGGAUGUUGUAUUAGCCAGGGUUCUCUAGAGGAAUAUAACUGUUGUGGAAUAAUCUUUUUGUAUGCUCUGAAGAUGUGUCACUCAGAUUGGUUUAUUUAAAAGCCGAAUGGCCAAUAGUUAGGCAGGAUUUCCAGGCCCAGGGGAUGUAGCACGAAUCUUAAAAGGUCUUGUUAAUAAAAACAAACCCAGAGCCAGGUAUUGGGGUGAAUGCUGAAAGAUCAGAGAGACAGAACAAGCCAUAGCCAACCUCACCUCGCCAACUUCUAAACUGAUCUUGUUUCCUCAAACUGGAAGCCUCUGAGUCCUCAUCCAAAUGGAUCUCAGCUGAACUGUUGCUGAAAGCCUCAAAGCUUAAAAGCCUAAAAGCCUCUAGUUCCUGGUCCUCACGCCUUACAUAUCUUUCUUCUUCCUGCCAUCACUUCCUAGAAUUAAAGGCGUGUGUCUUUCCCAAACAAGACAUGAGAUCUCAAGUCCUGGGAUUAAAGGUGUGUGUCACCAUACCUGACUGUUUCCAGUGUGGCCUUGAACUCACAGAGAUCCACAUAGUUGAAAGUUUUUCUGUGUCCCAGCCUGACCGCAGUCGGGACAAAUCUCUCCCACUCCCAUCCCUCAAGUAAACACACAGAGGCUUAUAUUAAUUAUAACUGCAUGGCUAUGGCUCAAGCCUUUUGCUUGCUAGCUCUUAUAUCUUAAAUUAGUCCAUAACUAUUAAUCUAUGUACCACCUCAUGUUCUGUGGCUUUACCUGUGUCCCAUUACAUGUUGCUCCUUGGGCAGCUCGCUGGCAUCUCCUCAGCCUUCUUCCUGUCUCUCUCUUUGAAUUUCCUGCCUGCUUCUAAGCUACCCUGCCAUAGGCCAACUGCCUUUAUUUAUCAACCAAUUAGAGCAACACAUAUUCACAGCAUACAGAAAGCUACCCACAGCAGAUCCGAAUGGAUCUCUGCUUCCAGCAUGCUAGGAUUAAAGGUGUGUGCUAUCACUACCUAACCUCUAUGUUUAAUAUAGUGGCUGUUCUGUUCUGUGACCCCCAGAUAAGUUUAUUAGGGUGCAUAAUAUAUCAACCACAAGAGGACACCGGGAAGAUGGGAGGAGACAUGGUGGAAGCAGGAAAGCAAGAUGGACAGUAUGUAGAUGAGGUAAAUGAGCCUCGGAGCAGCACAUAGCUGAGUAGGAGUGGGUUAAUUUAAGUUAUGCAAGCUAGCUAAAAACAUGUCUAAGCUAUCAGCUGAGCUUUCAUAAUUAAUAAUAAGUCUCCGUGUCAUGAUUUGUAAGUUGGCUGGUGGGACAGAGAAAGAUUCGCUACAUACAACCUAGAGAGGGGAUAUAUAUUACAAGGAGGAUUUUUAGAUUGGCUUACAGGAUAUGGGUUGGGCUGUACAAAAUGACUGUCUGCACACUGGAAAGCUGAGAAUCUGUGAGCUGUUCAGACCCUAACGUCAAAUUCCUUAGCACACCCAACUGACAUUGAGGGUCCAGAGGAUUCUGGAGAGCCAAAAAAAAAGCAUGUUCUGAUGUCAGGAGAGGGUAGCAACAGCUGUAGUAGGCAGAUUAGAUGUACUCAUGGGCCAACAGGGGAAAAUCAGCAGUAUUUAUUUUCCCACAGACUUCUCUAUAUCUGUGCCACAGCCUGAAGAUGCCACCUACUCUGUGGGAAGACUCCUGCUCCUUCAAUUAACUUUUCCAGAUUUGUGCUUUUUAGUUGAUCCCAGAUCUAAUCAAGUUGACAAAUAAUACCAACAACCACAGAUGUGAAUACUUAGCAGAAUGUUUCUGAAGAACUAGUUGCAUCAGUUUAGUUCCAAAAAGAAGGUGGUUAACCAUAUUUUUAUUAUUAACUUUGUAAAGUAUUUUUUAGAGCUGAAGCAUGGAAAAAUCUAUUUACUGUAUUACUUUUGAAAGAUUGGAGAAGAAAGAAAAGUUAGGCAAUCAUGAAAUCUUAAUGAACAAAAUAAUUAAGGCAAUAUUUUGUCUGGCCCAACUCAUCUAAAAUAUUAAUUCAACUUAAUUCUCAUUACAAUCCAGAAGUAAAGAAUAAUUAUCUUUCACUUUUGAGAGAGGAAACAUGCUAUAUUGUAUGAUUUUUCUUCUAGCUAUUAAGUAAAGUUAAUUAGCUAUUCAAACUUGAGUCUCUGAGUCCAAGGUAAAUGCUCUUUAUUGCAUAAGCAGGCUUCAAUAUGUUUUAUUUAGUAUGAUACUUGCUUUUAGUGGAGGUAGGGUGAGGAGACAAAGUUUUACCUUAUUUAUAACUCACUAAUCCAGUAUGAUACUUGCUUUUAGUGGAGGUAGAGUGAGGAGACAAAGUUUUACCUUAUUUAUAACUCACUAAUCCAUAAUUGUAGAAGGCAUGCACAGGCAAGCCAAGCUUGUCAGUAUUUACCUUGGAGUUAGGAGGUGAUAUGUUUUAUGGCUGACUCUAUUAUAUGUUCAAGCAAGAGCCAUUCUAUGGAAUUUAGUAAUUGUUCCAGAGUUCUUACUUAAGUGUGUCUGAGUACAUUUGGGCCCUUUGUAAAGUCUGAAAAUUUAUUUUUCACAUCUUGAAAGUUAUGAUGUCACCAAUAAAGGUGCUGUCAUAUGGUGAGGAUUACCUUGCUGUGUCCUCAAAUGGGAGAAAGGGGAAGGACAGAAAGACAAACUCUUUCCAACAAGUCCAUUGUAAUGGUGUUGAUCUUUUCACUGGGAUACAUUUCUCAUUACCAAAACACCUCCCCUAAGGCAUUACUUUAUGAAACAGCUGGGUUGGAGGUUAGGUUCCCCACAUGUGAACUUAGAGACACCAUUCAGACCACAACAUUGCAUAACUUCAUAUAGUUCAGUAUCCUUCAGGGCAUUGAAUAAAAGUGUCCCUAAUACAAGUGAUGUUCCCUGAGUCAGGACUCUGUACUGCUAUAAGAAGACACCAAUCAAUUAAGAUAUAACUCCAUUUCCAACUAAAUACACAGACAACCACAAGCAAAACAGGUAGCUAUGUUUGCUAUAUCUUGCUAAGGUUAUAAUUAAGAAAGUUUUAAGUUGGCAUUAAGUCAUCCAAAUCAAGUAAUCCCGUUUUGGACCUGAAAUUCAGUCAAUAGUAUCAUAAGGAAUUUUUCCUGGUUGUUUUAGAGUUAUCUGGGAAGAGGGAUUUCAGUUGAGAAAAUGCCUCCAUCAGUUUGCCUGUAGGCAAGUCCCUAGGUCAUUUUCUUGAUUAAUGACUGAUGUGGGAGAGCCCAGGUCACUGUGGACAGUGCCACUCAUGGCCAGUUGGUACUAGAUUAUAUAAGAAAAGAGAAUGGCCAGGCCAUAUUGAACAGACCUGAGGAGUAAGCCAGGAAGCAGUACUUGUCCAUGGUCUCUGCUUUAGUUCAUGCUUUCAAGUUCCUGCUUGAGUUCCGGCCCUAACUCUCCUCAGUGAUGGAAUGCGAUCUGAGAGUUGCUCAAUGGAAAAAAAAUCAAGUUAAUUUAAAGAGGGAAAUUACACUGGUGGUGCCAAGAUGAGCCCCUGAAGUGAAGACAAACAGAAACUGCUGAAGAGAGACAAACACUGGCAGAGAACAAAAGGAAGGAAGCUGAUCUAGUUGUUUGGAGGAGAUUCUGCAACUCACCUGUCAGGUGACUUUCCUUACAUUACUUAACAUUUCUUGGUCUCAGUUUCAGCUUCUAAUUUGGGCAGAUACUUUCUAAUUCUCUUUUUAGCAACGAAAUAAGGAGUAUAGUUAAUAGGUUGCGCUGAGGGUGAGAUUAAGAUAAAUUUGUUGGCUAGAAAUAGAUUUUCAUGCCAGUUAGGAUUUCUUUCCUGGAGUCUCUCCAUGGGUGGAGAGAGGAGGUCAAGCUCAUUAAUGGUGCUUUCCAUUUCAAUUUCUGUUACUCUUCCACUUCUUUGUGCUUUCUUAUAAGUGACCACUUUCCACUUAAUGCACUAUACUAUGGAAUAAGCCCAUGGACACCACAGCCAGGCCAAACUAGCCUUCUUAUAGUGGGUUCAACUCCUGUCUUUCUUACUCUUGUUUCUAAUCGUAAUUUGCCUGUAUAUUACCACCACUCAGAUUUCUCCUUGAAAGCUGCUACUGUGGAAUGCCACCUGGAGUGACAUCAUCAAUGAAAGUUUCUGCCAUUUAACAGCCCUAGGAGGCAUUCACCACUGGACUAGUGAAUGUAUUUUUGUUGUGCAGACCAAGGCAAGGCUCUAUCAUGGCAGAAUAUUGCGGCAGGUUGUCUGAGAAACUUAACGGGCUCCUUGCAAGCCAAGGAGAAAACUGAUAAAAUUAAAAAUAUUGUCUUUUAUGCAGUAGAAAGAUCAUAGUGGAUGAUAUACCCUGUCUUGUUUUAGACAAUACCUUUUUUUUUUAAAUGAAGGCAGGAAAUAUUUUUUGAGAAUUGCUAUAUUCCCAUGAUUUUGGAAUUUAGAGUUACAUGACUAUAACUUGGAGUUUUCUAGACAGCUCAAGCUCUUAGAUGUGCACUGAAGGCUCCAUUGAAGUAUAUUGUCAAGGUUCCAUUCGCUGAUGUUUAUUAGAAAGUGAGGAUGAGAAUAUCAUUCUCUUCUUGCCUCAGUUUCGGUCUAGACUUUACAGUGCUGGUAUUACUUUUACUCUCACAGUAAUAUAUUUUUAAGUAAAGGAAACAUCUCUGUUCCAGUCUUAAUCCAAACAGAGUCCCAUCACAGAUGUGCAUUAGCGUUCAGAUACCGCAUGGACAAAUACUUGCAAGGGACACUUGCUGCAUAUGGCAUUCAGUCAAACUGCACCUCUGCAGGUCUCUCUAAGACAAUCUCACAAGCAAGUCCUUGUUCUUUUUUCUUCCCUGCUGUUCAUCAAAGGUUCAUUUGUGCUGAGAAGAUGCACAAAUGCCACCUGUCUUGGCCCAAGAUCAAUGUCACUUUUCCUAAAGUACAUUUCUGCCUGGCUGACUAUGUAUAUGUGAUAUUAUUUCAACUACAUUAGGCAGUUGAUAUUUUUUUCUUGUUGGCUAGAUUCCCAGUAGAUCCUGAUACUGAAAAUCAGGUUGGGUUAGUACAGUCCACAUGUGCCAAGUUUGGGAUCUCUGGUUGGAGGAAAUGAUUUAAAUCAAUCUCACCCACUUUCAAACACCUCCGUUAAGCACUGCUUACAAAAUAAGGCAUAUGGAUUAUGAAAGGACAGCCUUAAAUGCCUACCAUAACAAAAUCUAUGGCCAAUUUUCAAUUUUUCCUUUAAAUGCCCUUUUGCCUAGAGCAAUUUAUAAGUUUCUCCCACCAUUUAAUUAUCUAAAUCUAGGAGCAAAGUUAAAAUAGAAAGUCAAGGGAAUAUCUGUACUGCAUCUAUAGUAUCCUAAAAUACUGGAAAAAUGAAGUUAUUUUCAUUGCUACAGUGAGUGGAAUUAUAAAUGUAUAGCACAUACUUUAUACUUAGAACUCCAGGCUUGAUUUAGCGGGAGUGGUGAGCUGAAUAUGGACAAGUGUGCUUGGGGACAAAUGACACAGCAAUUCACAACUGCACAUUUUGUUUAUCAUCCUUCUGUACUGGGCAGGGUACUCCACACCCUGUUGGCUCAGUCCUCACAUCAGUAAAAUGUGAAAACGUCCUCUCCUAGAGGCAUUCUGUGAAGAUGGAAAAUCACCUCACAUACCUGGUAAUGUCAGGGAUUUUGAAAAAUUACAGUUAAAAGUUUUAAAGUAAGAAUAAUCUUGAGUUUGACCCAGACCAUUUUUGGAUAUAUUAUCAUUUGCUGUUGAUAGCAUAAUUGUCAUUGUUGACAUCAAAGUCAGUUUCUUGCCUUAGCUCUGCGACUGAAUACUUUUUUUCCUGCUCUUGUAAUAGUGUUAGAGCCACAAAGCCUCCUUUCCAAUUAUAUGAUAUGAAAGCUGAGUAGUCAGCAAUGGGUUAAUAAAGAGCAUAUUAUUUAUGCAUUUGUAAAAUGAAUCAAAUGCACAGAUAGGCCUUUGGUACCCACUCGUUGGCACUGGUACAUGAUUCAUUCUAAGGUUCAUAAUGUAAUUUCAUUUCUGUGCAAACAAAUAGAUGAUUCUAAUGAUAUAUCAGGUUUAUAAUUGUUGAACUUAAGUACUGUGUAUAGUUUGUAAAAACAGAAGACUUUUUUCUUAUGACUUAGAAUCCUUAAUAUUUUCUAACAGUCCAUGGAAUAUUUGAUAUGGUCUGAUAGCAAGACCUGGCAAUUACAGUCCUAAGAGUUUAUGAUACAGAUAAGGAAAACUGCAACACUGAUCCUCUUCAUUGUGUUGUUGUGCAGGAAAAUUUAUGAAAGUCAGGGGAUCUGGUUUAUUAAUUGCUGUAUUCCCAGAGCUUCCAACAUCUAAUGAAUACUCAAUGACUAAGUGGGCUUAAAUUUAUUAUGGUAUUAAAAGCAAUUCUUUUACAUCUCUGUUUUCUUUUUUAAAGUUAUACCAACACAAUGCAAAUUUAGUACCACUGAGAGCAUCAUUAAUCAAACAUACCUUCAUGAUGGAAACAUAAGGAUUUUCUUAAGUGUUCUGCUUGCAUGUAUUCCUGCAAGCCAGAAGAGGGCACCAGAUCUCAUUACAGAUGGUUGUGAGCCGCCAUGUGGUUGCUUGGAAUUGAACUCAGGACCUCUGGAAGAACAGUCAGUGCUCUUAACCUCUGAGACAUCUCUCCAGCCCAAGGGCAGGAUUUUUAAUGGUUCAGAACUCAUCUUGUCUUUAACCAUAUUUUGUCCUUGUGUCCUGAGGUGUUGGGUUGGACCACCUCCCAGAUCUCUACUGGUCACAACUACUUGUGG